rnacentral:rRNA from 1 species
AGAGUUUGAUCCUGGCUCAGGACGAACGCUGGCGGCGUGCUUAACACAUGCAAGUCUACGAGAAAAGGGUAGCAAUAUCCUUAGUAAAGUGGCGCACGGGUGAGUAAUAUGUAAGUAAUCUACCUAUAGAUUUGGAAUAAUCCUUCGAAAGGGGGACUAAUACCGAAUGAUGCAGCGGCAUCGCAUGGUGAUGUUGUUAAAGUUGCAGCAAUGUAACGUCUAUAGAUGAGCUUGCAUCUGAUUAGCUAGUUGGUAAGGUAAAGGCUUACCAAGGCUACGAUCAGUAGCUGGUCUGAGAGGAUGAUCAGCCACACUGGAACUGAGACACGGUCCAGACUCCUACGGGAGGCAGCAGUGAGGAAUAUUGGGCAAUGCCCGCAAGGGUGACCCAGCAACGCCGCGUGAAGGAUGAAUGCCGUAAGGUUGUAAACUUCUGUGAGAAGGGAAGAAAAAUCAGAUUUCGUAAGGGAUCUGACUUGACUGUACCUUCAGAGGAAACCCCGGCUAACUACGUGCCAGCAGCCGCGGUAAUACGUAGGGGGUUAGCGUUGUCCGGAUUUACUGGGUAUAAAGGGCGCGUAGGCGGGUUUGUAAGUCAGUGGUGAAAUCCUACAGCUUAACUGUAGAACUGCCUUUGAUACUGCAAAUCUUGAGUUCAGAAGAGAGAGAUGGAAUUCCAGGUGUAGUGGUGAAAUACGUAGAUAUCUGGAAGAACACCAGUGGCGAAGGCGAUCUCUUGGUCUGUAACUGACGCUGAGGCGCGAAAGCGUGGGUAGCAAACAGGAUUAGAUACCCUGGUAGUCCACGCUGUAAACGAUGAAUACUAGAUGUUGGUGUCAUAGACAUCAGUGUCGCAGCAAACGCAUUAAGUAUUCCACCUGGGGAGUACGAUCGCAAGGUUGAAACUCAAAGGAAUUGAUGG